UUCUUGGUGGUUUAAUGGUCAGGACGUCCGCUUGUCAUUACAGCAGACUGCGGGAGCCCCGGGUUCAAUUCCCGGCCAGGAAG